rnacentral:rRNA from 1 species
CCUACGGUGAGCAGCAGUGGGGGAUAUUGCACAAUGGGGGGAACCCUGAUGCAGCGACGCCGCGUGGGUGCAGAAGCGCCUCGGCGCGUAAAGCCCUGUCAGCAGGGAAGAAAAUGACGGUACCUGAAGAAGAAGCCCCGGCUGACUACGUGCCAGCAGCCGGGGUAAUACGUAGGGGGCAAGCGUUAUCCGGAUUUACUGGGUGGAAAGGGGGCGCAGACGGCGAUGCAAGCCAGGAGGGAAAGCCCGGGGCCCAACCCCGGGACUGCUCUUGGAACUGCGUGGCUGGAGUGCAGGAGGGGCAGGCGGAAUGCCUGGGGUAGCGGUGAAAUGCGUAGAUAUCAGGAGGAACACCGGUGGCGAAGGCGGCCUGCUGGACUGCAACUGACGUUGAGGCCCGAAAGCGUGGGGAGCAAACAGGAUUAGAUACCCGUGUAGUC